rnacentral:rRNA from 1 species
GAUGAACGCUGGCGGCGUGCUUAACACAUGCAAGUCGAACGAUGAAGCCCAGCUUGCUGGGUGGUUUAGUGGCGAACGGGUGAGUAACACGUGAGUAACCUGCCCUUAACUCUGGGAUAAGCCCGGGAAACUGGGCCUAUUACCGGUAAGGAGCGUCCACCGCAGGGUGGGAGUUGGGGAGAUUUAGCGGUAUUGGCUGGACGGGCGGCCUAUCGGCUUUUUGGGGAGGUAAUGGUACACCAAGGCAGAGACGGGUAGCCGGCCUGAGAGGGUGGCCGGCGACAAUGGGACUAAGGGAGGGAGCAGACGCCAACGGGGGGCAGCGGGGGGAAGUAUUGCACAGUGGGCGCGAGCCUGAGGCGGCGGCGCCGCGUGAGGGAUGACGGCCUUCGGGUGGUAAACCUCAGUCAGUAGGGAAGAAGCGGAAGUGACGGUACCUGCAGAAGAAGCACCGGCUAACUACGUG